AGUGAACGCUGGCGGUAGGCCUAACACAUGCAAGUCGAACGGCAGCACAGGAGAGCUUGCUCUCUGGGUGGAGAGUGGCGGACGGGUGAGGAAUACAUCGGAAUCUGCCCAGUCGUGGGGGAUAACGUAGGGAAACUUACGCUAAUACCGCAUACGACCUUCGGGUGAAAGAGGGGGAUCGCAAGACCUCUCGCGAUUGGAUGAGCCGAUGUCGGAUUAGCUAGUUGGCGGGGUAAUGGCCCACCAAGGCGACGAUCCGUAGCUGGUCUGAGAGGAUGAUCAGCCACACUGGAACUGAGACACGGUCCAGACUCCUACGGGAGGCAGCAGUGGGGAAUAUUGGACAAUGGGCGCAAGCCUGAUCCAGCCAUACCGCGUGGGUGAAGAAGGCCUUCGGGUUGUAAAGCCCUUUUGUUGGGAAAGAAAUCUUUCAGGCUAAUACCCUGGGAGGAUGACGGUACCCAAAGAAUAAGCACCGGCUAACUUCGUG
rnacentral:rRNA from 1 species